GCUGGCGGUAUGCUUAACACAUGCAAGUCGAACGGUAACAGCAGAGCUUGCUCUGGCUGACGAGUGGCGGACGGGUGAGUAACGCUUGGGAAUCUGCCUAGUAGUGGGGGACAACACGGGGAAACUCGUGCUAAUACCGCAUACGUCCUACGGGAGAAAGUGGGGGAUCUUCGGACCUCACGCUAUUAGAUGAGCCCAAGUCGGAUUAGCUUGUUGGUGAGGUAACGGCUCACCAAGGCUACGAUGAUUAGCCGGCCUGAGAGGGUGAAC
rnacentral:rRNA from 1 species